UACGGAGGGUGCGAGCGUUGUCCGGAAUCAUUGGGCGUAAAGGGCGAGUAGGUGGUUGGGUAAGUCUAUGGUGAAAGCGCGGGGCUCAACCCCGCGUCGGCCGUGGAUACUGCUCGACUCGAGCACUGUAGAGGCAGGCGGAAUUCCGGGUGUAGCGGUGGAAUGCGUAGAGAUCCGGAAGAACACCAGGGGCGAAGGCGGCCUGCUGGGCAGUUGCUGACACUGAAUCGCGACAGCGUGGGGAGCAAACAGG
rnacentral:rRNA from 1 species